rnacentral:rRNA from 1 species
UACGUAGGGCGCAAGCGUUGUCCGGAAUUAUUGGGCGUAAAGAGCUCGUAGGUGGCUUGUCACGUCGGGUGUGAAAGCUUGGGGCUUAACUCCAGGUCUGCAUUCGAUACGGGCAGGCUAGAGUUCGGUAGGGGAGACUGGAAUUCCUGGUGUAGCGGUGAAAUGCGCAGAUAUCAGGAGGAACACCGGUGGCGAAGGCGGUUCUCUGGGCCUUACCUGACGCUGAGGAGCGAAAGCGUGGGGAGCGAACAGG